rnacentral:rRNA from 1 species
GAUGAACGCUGGCGGCGUGCCUAAUACAUGCAAGUCGAGCGAACAGACGAGGAGCUUGCUCCUUCGACGUGAGCGGCGGACGGGUGAGUAACACGUAUGUAACCUACCUAUAAUACGGGUAUAACUUCGGGAAACCGGAUCUAAUACGGUAGAAGAUUUCGAACCGCAGGGGUGGAUAGUGAAAUAUGGCGUUUCUAGAACGUCUAGAGGGACCUCCGCCGUAUUAGAUGGUUGUGAAGUUAACAGCUUACGAAGGGAAGGAUACGUAGGCGACCGGAGAGGGGGAUCGGCCACCUUGGAAGUGAGCCACGGUCAAUACUCCUAAGGGACGGCGCAGUAGGGAAUGUUCCGCAACGGGCGAAAGCAUGACGGAGUAACGCCGAGUGAGUGAUGACGGUCCCGCGAUCGUAAAAACCUGUUACUAGGGAAGAACAACCUUGUCAGUAAAUGAGGACGUAUUGACGGUAAUUAAUAAGAAAGCACCGGCUAACUACGUG